rnacentral:rRNA from 1 species
GAUGAACGCUAGCGGCAGGCCUAAUACAUGCAAGUCGGACGGGAUUGGAGAGCUUGCUUUCCAUGAGAGUGGCGCACGGGUGCGUAACACGUAUGUAACCUACCCUUGUCAGGGGGAUAGCCUCUCGAAAGAGAGAUUAAGCCCGCAUAACAUUGAGACAUAGCAUUAUGAUUCAAUCAAAUAUUUAUAGGACAAGGAUGGGCAUGCGGAACAUUAGCUAGUUGGUAAGGUAAUGGCUUACCAAGGCUACGAUGUUUAGGGGGAUCUGAGAGGAUGACCCCCA